UUCCACCAUGCCUGCUUACUCUUCAUUGGCUUUCUCUCCCUCUUCGCUCUUGAAAUCCUCCGUCCCGCAUCCCUCGCCUGCGUUUCCUUCCUCCGGCCGCUGCUUGCUGACUUCCUUCCCGGAAUUCAGAGGCUUGAGGAUCCAAAUGCCUUCUUCCAAGUUGUCCUUGCUCUCCACCGUUGCGAGGAAUUCUAGGGUUUCUCGACGGAACGUAGGGCGCGUUGUCUGUGAAGCUCAAGAGACUACGAUCGAUAUUCCUG
rnacentral:misc_RNA from 1 species